rnacentral:rRNA from 1 species
UUAUUUGCCACAAUGGGGCGCGAAGCCCUGAUGCAGCCCAUGGCCGCCGUGUAUGAAGAAGGCCUUCGGGGUUGUAAAUGUACUUUCAGCGAGGAGGAAGGCAUUAAGGUUAAUAACCUUGGUGAUUGACGUUACUCGCAGAAGAAGCACCGGG